rnacentral:rRNA from 1 species
GUACACUCCUGCGGGAGGCAGCAGUGGGGAAUUUUGGACAAUGGGCGAAAGCCUUAUCCAGCAAUGCCGCGUGAGUGAAGAAGGCCUUCGGGUUGUAAAGCUCUUUUGUCAGGGAAGAAACGGUGAAAGCUAAUAUCUUUUGCUAAUGACGGUACCUGAAGAAUAAGCACCGGCUAACUACGUGCCAGCAGCCGCGGUAAUACGUAGGGUGCAAGCGUUAAUCGGAAUUACUGGGCGUAAAGCGUGCGCAGGCGGUUUUGUAAGUCUGAUGUGUAAUCCCCGGGCUCAACCUGGGAAUUGCAUUGGAGACUGCAAGGCUAGAAUCUGGCAGAGGGGGGUAGAAUUCCACGUGUAGCAGUGAAAUGCGUAGAUAUGUGGAGGAACACCGAUGGCGAAGGCAGCCCCCUGGGUCAAGAUUGACGCUCAUGCACGAAAGCGUGGGGAGCAAACAGGAUUAGAAACCCGAGUAGUCCCAUGA